UAACGCGUGAGCAACCUGCCCUUCGGAGGGGGAUAGUGUCUGGAAACGGACAGUAAUACCGCAUAACGUAUUUUUACCGCAUGAUAGAAAUACCAAAACUGAGGUGCCGAAGGAUGGGCUCGCGUUGGAUUAGAUAGUUGGUGGGGUAACGGCCUACCAAGUCAACGAUCCAUAGCCGGACUGAGAGGUUGAACGGCCACAUUGGGACUGAGACACGGCCCAGACUCCUACGGGAGGCAGCAGUGGGGAAUAUUGCACAAUGGGGGAAACCCUGAUGCAGCAACGCCGCGUGAAGGAAGACGGUUUUCGGAUUGUAAACUUCUGUUCUUAGUGAAGAAAAAUGACGGUAGCUAAGGAGCAAGCCACGGCUAACUACGUGCCAGCAGCCGCGGUAAUACGUAGGUGGCAAGCGUUGUCCGGAAUUACUGGGUGUAAAGGGAGCGCAGGCGGGAAGCCAAGUCAGCUGUGAAAACUACGGGCUUAACUUGUAGACUGCAGUUGAAACUGGUUUUCUUGAGUGAAGNGAGGUUGGCGGAAUUCCGAGUGUAGCGGUGAAAUGCGUAGAUAUUCGGAGGAACACCGGUGGCGAAGGCGGCCAACUGGGCUUUAACUGACGCUGAGGCUCGAAAGUGUGGGGAGCAAACAGGAUUAGAUACCCUGGUAGU
rnacentral:rRNA from 1 species